CUUGAGCCAGCAGCGGUUAACCCGGCCCGGGGUUCUGGGCCUCAGCCGGCGCCAGCAGCUCCCUCAGGUGGGGCGCAAGCCUCUGCGCGCCGCCCUUCUCCGCUCCGCUCCUCCAACCCGCCCUUACCUAGGGCGGUGGCCCCGGAGACCCCCUUCCCAAGGGCGACGGCCUGGAGCCUGGAGUCUGUAGUAGUGGCGGGAGAUGGGGACGCGAGUCCCUAGACGCCGACAGUCUGUCUCUAAGGCGUUGCUGCGUGGCUUUGGUGCACAGAGCCUCUCCACCGCUGCAAGCACAGCGGGGAAGUGGAUGGAGAAGCAAAGACAGACAGACAGACAGACAGACAGACAGACAGACAGACAGACAAGCGGCGGCGGGGCUACCCUGAAACCCGAGCGUCUCCAAGCCCCCACCCCCAACCCCCGGGCAAGGCGCUGCAGAAGCCAGAUCCCCGACCAGAGGCGGUGAGGAUGGGCAGGGCAAAGAACGCGCGCGCCGCUCGCGGUUCGUCCGCGCGUGGCCUUCCUCUUGCCCCCCUGCACCUUCAAUUUACCUUAUGCAGGGCGCCCCGCGAGCUGCGGGCGGCGGCGCCGAGCCGAAGCGCAGAGGACAGGAGUUUGAGAGCCGCCAUCUUCGGCCCCGGGUGCGGGAGGAGGUGGCGCGCGCGGGAGUGCGUGCGAGUGCUGGUUGCCGGGAGCCGAAGCGGCGUCACCGGCUAAGAAGAGAGAAGGCAAGGCGAGCUGUGGGGCGGGAUGGAGGCUCGACCGCGCGUCAGUGACGUCCUCGGGACCUCAGAGCGGUGCCGCCCCUUGCUGCCUGCUGGCUUGUCAAGGAGCGAGACAGGGAGGGGCCCACGGCUAGGAAUGGAGAGGCUGCACAGCUAGGAUGAGCCCCGCGGGUUGUGCCGGGACCGGAGGUGCUGGGCUCCAGCUCGUCUGCCGGCACACCCGCAGCGGCGGGCGCUGCACUCAGGCUGGAGGGGGCGCUAGUGCCUGCCUUCCCCUCGCGCAAGGCUUGGCAUCAACCAGGGUUUCGGGUUGCCAAGGGCCUGGAGGGUCUCUUACUGAACGCGUUACUUUUCCAAGUCGCCCUCUGGAAUGAGUACAGGUACAAAGGGUCACUGAUAAAGAUCUCCUCCCAGAUCUAGACAGCUCACCUUUCAAACAUUUCUCAACCCCACCACCCACAACUCUCUUCAAGUCUGAUUUUGCCCUUAGUUUCCUCUGAAACCCAGCAGCGUGCUGACUGACCCUCAUGAGACAUGACCUGCUUAACCGACAGAGGGACAAGAUUAGAACUGGACUGUUCCGCAUCAUCCUAGUCUGUGUUCCAGAAUUUUCCUGGAACCGGAGUCCCAACAAUUCCAGAAAUUACAGAGCAGGAGAAAAUGAAAAUAUAUGAGUUACACAGUCAAAACGAAUGAACAUGAGAGCCUUGUUAAGGUGCUAAGAAAACCUCAGGAGAAAAACACAGCCAUCUGAGUGUGCUCAGCUUCAUCAUAGGACACCUGCUUUGCAUUCUCAGCCUCUCCAAUGUCAGGGAGAUACUGCCAUAAUUGACUUUGAUCCCCCUGAAACUGUAAGCCCAAAAGUGAGUUCUUUCUUCCAUAAAUUGCUUUUGAGCAUUGUGUUUUAUCACAGCAACAGCUAAGCAACUAAUACAGAAGUUGGUACUAGAGUGGGCCAAAGCUGUGUAGCACUUGACUGUGUUGCUUUGAAGAGGAAGGUGGGAGACUGUGGAGAUCUGGACUAGAACACCAUCUGAAUACUUUUGGCAGAACUAAAAAGGUAACCCUAAGGGAAGCCUGAAAGAUAACCAUACUGAGAGCAAUGAGGACUGUGGAGACCCAGAGCAAAAGGUUUCAGAGAGGAACACGACCAGCCAUUGGGCUCCAAGCCCUUGUGAUAUUUGGGCAAAGAAUCUAAUGGCCCUAGGCUUUGAUCCUAAGAACUUACCUAAGGGGAAAUUUUUAAAGUAACAGAAUAAUCUCUAUAGUGAAUAAAAUUUCAAGACCACAUAACAUUGAGUCUGUGGCAUGGUUUUUAUUGAUAAUGCUUCGGAUCUAUGAUGGAAAAGAGACAGAAAGAAAAAAAUGGACAUUUUGGUGAGAUAAGGAGCAUUGGGAAUCUUACUGCCCACAUUGAAAUGGAGGCUAUAAUUGCUCAGGAGUCAAGCACCAUUAAGGAGAGACCUGCUCAACACUGGAAUGUGGUUAACACUCUGCCCAGCUAAGCCUCUAGAUUCUGAAAGGAAAAAGACUAAGAGGUGGCUAGCCAAACUUAGCAGAUGUCUCAAUAUGAUGUUAUCUUAGAUGCAUGAAGGAGACCAAGCCCGUUCAUAGACUCUUCUUCCUGGGUCUCAGGGAGUUGCUGGGGCCAAGAAAUGUGUGGAAGAGGGGUCACUACAUGAAGACUUUGAGAAGGCAAGAGGCUCUAAGAAAGCAUUGCAGGAAACUGUGAAAGUAAAGCUCUUGCAGUAAGAUCUCAAAUUUUUGGUGAUUCAGCAGCCACGGCUUACCUGCUGUGACAAGUUAUGUUUUAAUUACUGUGCCUAGAGAGAUCCAUGAAACAAAAAAUAUCUCCCUUCCCUAGGGACAGAUACUUCAAAAGUGCUGGAGGCUGUUGUUUAAGGAAGAUAACAAGCCACAUGUUUUCGCACUCAUAAACAAGUUUGUUUGACCCAACUGCACUGGCUGUCUCUAUCACCGGUAGGCAGAGGUAAGGAAACAGGAAAUAUGUCAAGAUAUAUGCUUGUCCUUCAUUGGAUAUUGAUUGGCCUUGUGGGGUUGCCUUUUUAAGCCUCUGCAAGAUGUGAUUCAUCACCAAUUUCUGGGAACCUGGGAAUGAACCGGGUCAGAGUCCAUCCUCCUGGCCAGCAUCUAAUCAACGAUUGCUUCAUAUUUGACUCAAAGAUUGUGGUAGUGGUCUUAUUCCCAACUGGUGAGAUUAACACUGCCAAAGAGAACUGCAUACAGAGGCAGAACCAGCCCAGGAGAGAUAUGUAUGUCGCAGGCAGCAAAGGUGGAGGAGUAGAGGUAUCUAACCCCCUUGACAUCAGAUGUGAAACUACAGAUUUGGUCUUGGCCCUGUUGAGUUCUGAUCUUACUUUGGCAUAGCAUUCCCAUUAGGAAGAUUUGUGGAUAUUAUAUUCUGGGGUAUUACACAUUGAACAUAUGUAAUUUGUGUUUUGAUCUUACAGUGGUUACAAUUAAGAGAGUUCCUUGAGCCUCAGAA
rnacentral:lncRNA from 1 species